rnacentral:rRNA from 1 species
UUGAACGCUGGCGGCAGGCCUAACACAUGCAAGUCGAACGGUAACAGGAAGCAGCUUGCUGCUUUGCUGACGAGUGGCGGACGGGUGAGUAAUGUCUGGGAAACUGCCCGAUGGAGGGGGAUAACUACUGGAAACGGUAGCUAAUACCGCAUAACGUCGCAAGACCAAAGAGGGGGACCUUAGGGCCUCUUGCCAUCGGAUGUGCCCAGAUGGGAUUAGCUAGUAGGUGGGGUAACGGCUCACCUAGGCGACGAUCCCUAGCUGGUCUGAGAGGAUGACCAGCCACACUGGAACUGAGACACGGUCCAGACUCCUACGGGAGGCAGCAGUGGGGAAUAUUGCACAAUGGGCGCAAGCCUGAUGCAGCCAUGCCGCGUGUAUGAAGAAGGCCUUCGGGUUGUAAAGUACUUUCAGCGGGGAGGAAGGGAGUAAAGUUAAUACCUUGGCUCAUUGACGUUACCCGCAGAAGAAGCACCGGCUAACUCCGUG